AUUCCGGUUGAUCCUGCCGGAGGACAUUGCUAUUGGGAUUCGAUUUAGCCAUGCUAGUCGAGCGAGUUCAGACUCGCGGCGAAUAGCUCAGUAACACGUGGCCAAGCUCCCCUUCAGUCAGCGAUACCCUCGGGAAACUGAGGUUAACAGCUGAUACAAAACGCCAGCUGGAAUGCGGCGUUUCAGAAAGACACCGCUGAAGGAUGCGGCUGCGGCCGAUUAGGUAGACGGUGGGGUAACGGCCCACCGUGCCAGUAAUCGGUACGGGUGAUGAGAGUCAGAGCCCGGAGACGGAAUCUGAGACAAGAGUCCGGGCCCUACGGGGCGCAGCAGGCGCGAAACCUUUACACUGCACGACAGUGCGAUAAGGGGACCCCAAGUGCGCAGGCAUAUUAGCCCUCGCUUUUCUCGACUGUAAGGUGGUCGACGAAUAAGAGCUGGGCAAGACCGGUGCCAGCCGCCGCGGUAAUACCGGCAGCUCAAGUGAUGUCCCAUAUUAUUGGGCCUAAAGCGUCCGUAGCU
rnacentral:rRNA from 1 species